rnacentral:rRNA from 1 species
UACGGAGGGUGCAAGCGUUAUCCGGAUUCACUGGGUUUAAAGGGUGCGUAGGUGGGUCUGUAAGUCCGUGGUGAAAUCUCCAAGCUUAACUUGGAAACUGCCGUUGAUACUAUCUGUCUUGAAUACCGUGGAGGUGAGCGGAAUAUGUCAUGUAGCGGUGAAAUGCUUAGAUAUGACAUAGAACACCAAUUGCGAAGGCAGCUCGCUACACGAAUAUUGACUCUGAGGCACGAAAGCGUGGGGAUCAAACAGG